UACGUAGGGUGCAAGCGUUGUCCGGAAUUAUUGGGCGUAAAGAGCUCGUAGGCGGUGUGUCGCGUCGGUCGUGAAAACUUGGGGCUUAACUCUGAGCUUGCGGUCGAUACGGGCAUCACUUGAGUUCGGCAGGGGAGACUGGAAUUCCUGGUGUAGCGGUGAAAUGCGCCAGAUAUCAGGAGGAACACCGGUGGCGAAGGCGGGUCUCUGGGCCGAUACUGACGCUGAGGAGCGAAAGCGUGGGGAGCGAACAGG
rnacentral:rRNA from 1 species